rnacentral:rRNA from 1 species
UACAGAGGGUGCAAGCGUUAAUCGGAAUUACUGGGCGUAAAGGGUGCGUAGGUGGUUAGAUAAGUUAGGUGUGAAAUCCCUGGGCUCAACCUGGGAAUUGCGCUUGAUACUGUUUGACUAGAGUGCUGUAGAGGGUGGCGGAAUUUCCGGUGUAGCGGUGAAAUGCGUAGAUAUCGGAAGGAACACCAGUGGCGAAGGCGGCCACCUGGACAGACACUGACACUGAGGCACGAAAGCGUGGGUAGCAAACAGG